CUUGUAUAUUUUCCAAAGAGGAUGAGGCCACCAAGCUGUUGCUCUGCUUCAGCAUCACCCAGGGAGUUGUUGGAAAUGCACCGCUUCUAGCUGGAUGCCCAUCUACUGAACUGGAACCUGCAAUUUGGAACUGGACUCAAUCUAUUUGCUCCGUCUUUUGUCACCAUAUGUCCCCAGUCACCUGGAGACUGUGUAAGGAAAAUAAGAGUAAUGGCAAUUAAAUCAAGGAAAACAGUAGAGGGGAGGUGUGGAGAAGUGCAGGAGGCAAGAAUGGAGAGGUGAGCAGAGCUUUUGGAAGAGCCAAGGAGGGAAUGAAUCAACUGCUUCUCCUGUGUCCUUGCCUCCCACUUCUCUGUAACUGCA
ensembl:lncRNA